UUUGUCUGUACCAGUACAUGUAGUAAUAUUGAUCAUCAUCUUGUCUACACUGCAAAGUUACAUCUGGGUCUCCUUCACGACUGAAUACAAAUGGAAGCUGGAGAACUUUAACACCAGCGGUGGAAUCUGUAAGGGUGUACCCCGCCUUUCGCCCGAUACCAGCUGGGAUUGGCUCCAGUCCCCCGUGACCCUGUACGCAGGAUAAGCGGUCGACGAUGGAUGGAUGGAUGGAUGGACUCUCUCUUUCUCUCUCUCUCCCUCUCUCUCUCCCUCCCUCUCUCUCUUCCUCUAUCUAUCCCUCCCAGUUGGCAGCUGUGGGCAUUACCUAUGUUUCUCUUGGUUUGGAGUCUUCCCUCACCUGCCUGAGAUCUGCAGUCUACACACCUGGCCUGACCGUGAUCAAGCCAAUCAGCUCCCCUUCAUAAAUCCAGGCCUCACCUCCAGUCCCCACCAGAGUGUUGAGUCAUACACAGUAGGGGUGCGAUUAAUCAACAAAAAUUGAUGAUGAAAUUAGUUGCCAAUGACUUUAAUUAUCAAUUAGAUCAUGAUGUCAUUGAGCUGAAGCGACACCGUCCGUCAAGUCCAGUUAAAGGUCCAGUGUGUAAUAUUUAGGAGGAUCAGCUCCACUCCAACACUGCUCUGGACUUUCCCCCCAACUCAACGCUUUCCUAAUCUGAUAUUUAUUAAUAAACUGCUUAAAAUAGAUUUGUAAUAACUAUCAUUUAAUUUGUUGUCUGAUACUGUUUUCACAGUUGCUUCCAAUAAAAACUUUAAGGCAA